rnacentral:rRNA from 1 species
CUCGGAUGAAAUAACGUAGGUAAGGGAAGUCGGCAAAAUAGAUCUGAAACUUCGGGAAAAAGAUUGGCUCAAAAAAGUUGAUAGGAAAACUAUGUUAAAAGUAGUUUUCUGUUAACACCUUUUUUGAACUGUUUUCGGACAAGGGGAUUCCGACUGUUUAAUUAAAACAAAGCAUUGUGAAGGCCUGUGAUUUGGUGAUAACACAAUGUGAUUUCUGCUCAGUGCUCUGAAUGUUAAAGUGAAGAAAUUCAAUCAAGCGCGGGUAAACAGCGGGAGUAACUAUGACUCUCUUAAGGUAGCCAAAUGCCUCGUCAUUUAAUUAGUGACGCGCAUGAAUGGAUUAACGAGAUUCCCACUGUCCCUAUCUACAAUUUAGCGAACCCACAGCGCGGGGAACGGGCCGCGAAAAGUUGGCGGGGAAAGAAGACCCUGUUGAGUUUGACUCUAGUUUAAUGUUGUGAAACAUCUCGAGAGAUGUAGAAUAAGUGGGAGAUCAGUAAAAUGAUCAACGGUGAAAUACCACUGCUCUCGACGAUAUUUUACUUAGAAAGUUAAAAGGGGAAGAAAAUUUGUGUAACAAUAAAUUAUUCUUUAUUCUUGAUUUAAAUCAGUAUAUAUUUCUUACUGAUAACCCUUCUCCUUUCAAUCGCAUUAAAUCGGAAGUUUGGCUGGGGCGGCAUACCUGUUACAAAAUAACGCAGGUGUCCAAAAUGGAGCUCAAUGAGAACAGAAAUCUCAUGUAGACCAAAAGGGGAAAAGCUCCACUGAUUUGUGAUUUUCAGUACGAAUACAAAACGUGAAAGCGUGGCCUUCGAUCCUUUAUGUAUUAAGCGAAUGAUUAUGUCAGGUCCUUAUUUCAAUACUAUACAAUUUUAGUCUAGAGGUGUCAGAAAAAUUACCACAGGGAUAACUGGCUUGUGGCUGCCAAGCGUCCAAAGCGACGUAGCUUUUUGAUCCUUCGAUGUCGGCUCUUCCUAGCAUGACGAAGCAGAAUUCGUCAAGUGUCGGAUUGUUCACCCGCUAAUAGGGAACGUGAGCUGGGUUUAGACCGUCGUGAGACAGGUUAGUUUUACCCUACCAACAAAGUUUUGAAGUAUUUAUAAUAUCUUAUUGUUAUAGUAAUUGAACAUAGUACGAGAGGAACAGUUCAUUCAGACCACUGGAAAUGCGGUUGUUUGAAAACACAGUGCCGCGAGGCUACGUCUGUGGGAUAACGGUUGAACGCCUCUAAAUCGGAAACCUUGCUAGAUUUU